rnacentral:lncRNA from 12 species
AAUGCCUUUUGGGGCACCUGGGUGGCUCAGUUGGUUGAGCUUCCAACUCUUGAUUUCGGUUCAGGUCAUGAUCUCAGGGUUGUGAGGUGGAGCCCACCAACAGGCUCCUAGCUUGGUGGGGAGCUUGCUCGGGAUUCUCUCCCUGUGCCCCUCCCCUUGCUCAUGCUCUCUCCUUCAAAUAAAUAAAUAAGUCUUUUUAAAAUAUGCCUUUUGGGGAUCCCUGGGUGGCGCAGCGGUUUGGCGCCUGCCUUUGGCCCAGGGCGCGAUCCUGGAGACCCAGGAUCGAAUCCCACGUCGGGCUCCCGGUGCAUGGAGCCUGCUUCUCCCUCUGCCUGUGUCUCUGCCUCUCUCUCUCUCUGUGACUAUCAUAAAUAAAUAAAAAUUAAAAAAAAAAUUAAAAAAAAUAAAAUAUGCCUUUUGUUUAUUUGCAGUUGGUGAGAUCUACCUGAGGAAGGUUGCAUGCCAAUGCCACAUUAAACAAAGAAAAGGAAAGGAAAAAAGAAUCCUAAAUUCUUUAUUAGAGUCUGACGUGACUGAUUUCAAAAAUUCUUGGAAAAAAAAAAUUCUUGGCCAAGACCUCAGUGGAGUUUGUGCUGUAUUUAGUUUCUCAACCAGAAACCUUCCAUGGAACUUGGAGAUUUGGAGGAAGAGCAUUGGAGACAACUCAGCAUCCAUCUUUUUGGAACCUGAUGCUGAGCUCCAGUGCCUCAUGUCCCUGAUCACAGUGGCCUCUAACCCAUGGCUCAUCCAAAUCCCUCAGGGCUCAGGACUGUUGCCUGAAGCCGGUGCUCAGUAAUCUAAUUUUCCAAAUGUGGAAGCCCGGGUGCACACGCUUGCGUCUUGCCCGAGGUGUGAGCUAACUCAGGGAGAAGCAGCGCAUGGCAGCAGUUGCCUGGAGAACCUCAACAUUUCCAGCCAAAUCUGGCUUGUGGGUGUGUGUGGUUGUCCCAUGGUUAUUUUGUCUUGACUUCCCCGCCCGCCCCUACCCAAGCACUCCUUAGGGGGGUGGGUUCCAUCACUGGCCUCAUCUCUCUGGGGCCUCUGGACCUGGCAGGGGCCCUGACUGGCGUGGCCAUGAAAUUCCCCACUGCCCAGUCUUGCCCUGACUUUCCUUUGUUACUUGGGCUUCUUUUAUUUUGAUUCCAGGAGCAUCUGCUUGCAGGAUUUCCGACACUCCUGGGCCCUCAGAGCUAUGGGGUCUCGCUAAUGUACGGUCCCUCCGUUACUACAUCGAAAGACGAUUUACCUAACAGAUGGGAUCUUUUGAAUAUUUAUGUCUGGACACAUCUGUUCUGGACUUGAAAGUUUAAUAAAGCUUUUCAUUUGCUGAAGCGCUGGUGAAGC